UUCCAGACUCCUACGGGAGGCAGCAGUGAGGAAUAUUGGUCAAUGGGCGCGAGCCUGAACCAGCCAAGUCGCGUGAGGGAUGACGGCCCUACGGGUUGUAAACCUCUUUUGUCGGGGAGCAAAUUCCGCCACGUGUGGCGGAGUCGAGAGUACCCGAAGAAAAAGCAUCGGCUAACUACGUGCCAGCAGCCGCGGUAAUACGUAGGUGGCAAGCGUUAUCCGGAUUUAUUGGGUGUAAAGGGCGUGUAGGCGGGAGCGCAAGUCAGAUGUGAAAACUCAGGGCUCAACCCUGAGCCUGCAUUUGAAACUGUGUUUCUUGAGUGCUGGAGAGGCAAUCGGAAUUCCGUGUGUAGCGGUGAAAUGCGUAGAUAUACGGAGGAACACCAGUGGCGAAGGCGGAUUGCUGGACAGUAACUGACGCUGAGGCGCGAAAGCGUGGGGAGCAAACAGGAUUAGAUACCCUCGUAC
rnacentral:rRNA from 1 species